GACGUAGGGGACGAGCGUUGUCCGGAUUCAUUGGGCGUAAAGCGCGCGUAGGCGGCCACGCAAGUCGGGUGUGAAAUCCCGGAGCUCAACUCCGGAACUGCACUCGAAACUGCGCGGCUUGAGGUAGGUAGGGGAGAUCGGAAUUCCUGGUGUAGCGGUGGAAUGCGCAGAUAUCAGGAGGAACACCGAUGGCGAAGGCAGGUCUCUGGGCCACUACUGACGCUGAGAAGCGAAAGCAUGGGGAGCGAACAGG
rnacentral:rRNA from 1 species